CUACGUGCCAGCAGCCGCGGUAAUACGGAAGGUCCAGGCGUUAUCCGGAUUUAUUGGGUUUAAAGGGAGCGUAGGCGGACGAUUAAGUCAGCUGUGAAAGUUUGCGGCUCAACCGUAAAAUUGCAGUUGAAACUGGUUGUCUUGAGUGCACGCAGGGAUGUUGGAAUUCAUGGUGUAGCGGUGAAAUGCUUAGAUAUCAUGAAGAACUCCGAUCGCGAAGGCAUAUGUCCGGAGUGCAACUGACGCUGAGGCUCGAAAGUGCGGGUAUCGAACAGGAUUAGAUACCCUGGUAGUCCGCACAGUAAACGAUGAAUACUCGCAGUAUGCGAUAUAAUGUAUGCUGCCAAGUGAAAACGUUAAGUAUUCCACCUGGGGAGUACGCCGGCAACGGUGAAACUCAAAGGAAUUGACGGGGGCCCGCACAAGCGGUGGAGUAUGUGGUUUAAUUCGACGCAACGCGAAGAACCUUACCAAGCCUUGACAU
rnacentral:rRNA from 1 species